rfam:Aedes albopictus isolate Foshan contig141913, whole genome shotgun sequence.
UGUUAUGUGGCUUAGUAGGCUAAAGCGCCAUUCUAGCGAAUAGGGAGUCGUGUGUUCGAAUCCCUCCAGAACAC